GGAUAUGCUAGUUGGUCCGGCGCAAGCUGAGAACUGAUGGGCAUAUCCUUCCUCUCGAAAGCGGCAUGUGCGCUUAAUUUGGUGUUGCGGGGAAUUUGGACUGUUACUUUGAAAAAAUUAGAGUGUUUAAAGCAAGCUAACGCUUGAAUACAUUAGCAUGGAAUAAUGAAAUAGGACGUUCGAUCCUAUUUUGUUGGUUUCUAGGAUUGACGUA
rnacentral:rRNA from 1 species